AGAAAUCAUUCAGCUCCUGUCUGUUUUUUUUUGUUGUUUUUUUUCAAACAUCCCCCUCCUCACAGCCAACAGGAGCACAGAUGACCACGCUCUACAGCCAGCCCUAAUUGUGUGUGCGUGUGUCUGCAUUUUUUCUUCCCUCUGACAUGAAAUGAAGAAGGAGAACGAGAGUUUGCACUUUCUGCCUCUAUUCCACAGGACUUUGACUUAACCUGCAGGUUUAGGCUGUGAGACAUUGCCAGAUUUUGGACCAUCAUGUGGAACUCCCAGGUGAUCCAUAUCUUGGCAUUGGUAUCCAUGGCAACUGAAACAUUAUGCCAAAGUGGAGAUGGAGAAUGGGGCUCAGGCAUAGACGACGUGUACUCAGCUAAAGUGUCCAUCAACGACACAAAGCAGACAGCAGGCGAUGAGCCAGCGAGGGUGAAAGGUAUCCCCCAGUGGAGCACGAUAGCAGCGUCCCCCACAUCCUCUCCCCCUGUGCUGCUGUAUGAGCUCCAUCAGGACAAGUGCUCGGUGCACUUCAGCACAAGAAAAGCUUCAGCUCGAUGGCUGAAAGCUGAGAGAGAGGAGCUGAGCUAUCUGCAGGCCUUGCAGCAUGCAAACAAGGCAGUGAUGGAGGACUUGGUUCAGUUUGUGGGGGCGGAGCUAGAAGAGCAGAGCUAUGAGGAAGUGAUUAAAGACAAUGUCUUAGGAAUUCAGCAGGACCACAAGAGCUGCCAUGAGGUGGUGGAGAAAGUUGAGGAGGAUCUACAGAAGCAGCUGGAGGGAGAGGUAGUGGGCUCGCCCACAGGGAUGCACAAGAUGAGAGAAGCGACCUCGGCCUUUGACGAAAUGCUCACAGCUGCUUCAGAAAUGGCCAGCAGGUUGGAGAGAUCCUCCCAGACUCUGCACGCUUCAUUCACCAAGCAACUCAGAGACAUCAGGAUCCAUCGAUGACAAACGCAAACGCAAAACCUGCUCUGAAUGUGACAAUGACAUGUGGCAACUUUCAAAGAAAGAAAGAAAGGACAAAACUUAUCUCCAUUUCUGACCAUUUUGUUUUUCUAUUCAGCUUUCAGUGAAAGGAAAGCAGAGAAAACGUGAAUAAAAUGGAUACAUUGGGAUUUUACA
rnacentral:lncRNA from 1 species